GGCAGAAAAAUGUUGUUCUAAAACUGAUAUUGACAAUGAAUGCUGAGGCAAACAUAUAAAAAAAAUACUACAAAUUUUAAAGAAAUCAUAUCUAAAAUGUAAGAAUUUUUUUCAUUUUUGCAACUAUAUUUCUGUGGAAAUACUUUUGCAAUAUGUGAAGACCUGCAUGCUUCAUACUUAAAUUAUGGGCGUAGAAUGGAGUAUCAACCAGACUACUUAGAGGGUUAAAGACUGAACUUAGCCUGACUAAAGAAGCCCAGGGACUUAUAUGUAAAUAAAUACGUCCACUGGGAUUCAACUGCAAGAUGGCCGAGAGGAUAAGAAUCCCCAAUUUCUCUUGUGCGGUCAGGGAUUAACCGCUGCCGCCGGAGAAGUAUGCCUCAGGUGAGGGAGAGUCGCCGGGGAGCGUCGCCGUGGUUGGAUGGACGCCGCCCUUUCGCCUUGUGACGGAGGAAGCCCCGGAUGAGGGCGCGUUGCGCCAUGCGCGUGCGCCUGAGGGCGCUGCCGUCGCGUUGCCGCAGUGCCUCUUCCAGCCCCAGCCAGUCAUCCGCGUCGCCGUGUGUGCUCUAGCCAUUGCAUCCCGUGGAUGAGCAGCGAGGCGCAUGGACGCGGGAACCGCUAGCGAUGUUGCAGAUCGCUUGAUCCAGUGCAAGAAAAACUGAACUUUUCUUCCUUGGUCAAUGAUCUCUUCCGGUUGAUGCUUCAGCCAUCUAUUCAUCUCACCAUAUCCACAUACUAUGUGCAGAAAAGCAGUUGAUGUUCAGAUCAAGGGAAGAACUAAAAUUAAACGGAAUUAGUGUUUCCUGAUUGAUUUCCCGAUGCUCGUUCAGGCAGUCGCUGUGCUGACGCCGUUUAAGGCGUUCGUGCUUGACUCGUUGGCUGCCGCCGCCGCCGACUGGAAGGGUCCCGCUGAUGGUGUCUGCGCCACCGGGAGGAGCGAGGCCGCAUCACCCCGCGCCGGAGGACGCCCCAUGCACCAGAGGGCGCCUCGUGUGGUGCUUAUGUGCGGGUGACCGCGCCGCCGGACGAGGGCUGCGGUGUCGCGCGCCCGCUGGUGGCCACCGCGCUGCAGGGCUAGAACAGAGGCGUCUCCUAUGCUUUUGUGGCCUUCUCGCUCUCGGUAGAGCCGAGUGCUGAUAACGUGUAAAAGUAAAACGAGAGAGAGGGGAACAAAUGAUUGAACAGUGAUUGUAUUGACUGAAGAAUAGGGUAUUUAUACCCAUGUACAGAGGCGGUAAUUACAUAGUCGGUAACUGGCGGUUGCUAAACUAAACAACCGACCUAAGCAUUGAUUAUUAGGAUUUAAUUAAUCCUUAACAAUGUUAUUACUACCAACUACUCUUAAACGAUGACAUGUGUAUUUAUCUUU